rnacentral:lncRNA from 1 species
AUUGCCUAAUGGGUGACCUCAAAAGUGUCAUCAGGAGACAAAAGGGUUAAAUUUGUGACACAGAUUUUAUGAUUCAAAAAAUAUGUGAAGUAUUAUGGUACAGGGAACAGCUUUGUCAUUUGUCACUUCUUGAGGUAGUCAUGAAUAGGCCCCUCAUCUGGUUGAGAAUUUAACUACCCAGUUUCUCUAUGAGAAAAAUUGUUCUCCAGCAGUGUGAAUGAACUAUUCUAUCUAUUGUGGGACUCUUCCAGUUUGUGGAGGAGGGGCUGAGAAGAAAAGGUGGCAUUUAUGGAAUUUGACUGUUCUGCCAGAAGGGUUGUGCUGUCCAGCUGCAGCUGUGGUGGUUGCUGGAAGAGAGCUGGGACAAGGCUUUGCGAUCAGUGCCUUUGGUAGGAUGUCUAGAGAUAGUGGGCAUUUCAUGAGAACCCUGUGGGGAGGCCCCAGUUAGAACACUUUUUGGGAGAUUCCUGCUCUGUCCACCAUAAGAUGAAUAAGAGUUGGGGCAGGGGGAAGAAGGUCUGUGUUAUUGAGCAGUCAAAGUGUGCCCCCCUCAUCAUUGUCUGAGCUCAGGUCCUGAAAGAAGUCAGAGAAAUUAUUAGUCUGGUCAUCGCUCUGGAGCCCAAGGCCACCAAUCUGGUCCCUACAAGAAGGUCUACUCCUGUGUAGAAGCUCUCCAUCUCAGAUGAUUGUCAUCAUAGUGGUCUGUACUGAAGGAUUUGCAGUUCCUGAAAUCCGAGGCAGAGCUUCAGUGGCUGAAGGAGCUGUGAUCUUUCAAGCACAGUGCAGUUGGAGCAGAGCGGGGUGUGUGUAUGUGUGUAAGAGAUAGCACAGGUAAGUGAAACUGUGCCUCAGUCAUUCUCAAGGAUUCAGGGAUCCUUGUAUUUCUUCUUGCUUUGCUUUGAGAUUGAGUGUCCAGCUCUGGUGGUGGUGAGAGAAGUCUCAAGGAAAAAUUGACCAAGGAAAUGUCCCUGGCCUUUUCUUUGUUUGGGGUAACACCAAGCUCCUAAAUCAUGUCGAGGAGACUUAUUUAGUUGAAUGCUCAGCCUGGUUUAGGCUUGUUUGUAGCUAGCUCCUUUAACUUAAAUUAACCUGUUUACCUUUUGCCUUAGGGCUUUAUACCUUUUCUUUUUAUGUCCUACUUUUCUUGCUUCUUCUGUGUCUGUCUGGCAGUUACCUGGUUGGCCCCAGGCAUCUCUUUCUCCCUGGUUCUCUCCUUUCCUUCCCUCUUCUGAGCCUAGAUUUCUCCUCCUGUGUAUUCUCUUUGCCUGACAACCCGGCCUAUUUCUUUUCUUCUUAACUAUUGGCCAUUUAGCUCUUUAUUAGACCGUAGUCAGGCCUUUAUGAGUGCCUUAGUCAGGCAAGGUGAAACAGUAACACAUCUUUUCAUAAUUAAACAAAUGCAGUAUAAACAAAUGUAACACACCUUUACAUAGUUAAUAUUCUACAACAAGGAGAGGCCAUUAUUUUUUUUGGGGGGGGUGCGAAUAGAGUUGGAGAGGCCAGUUACCCCAUUAGAGGAGGCCAGCAAUGUGGCUAGGCAGAAUGACAAAGGCUGCCUACAGGAAGUGACCUCCUCCUGAGUCAUAUAAGCCCCAGGAUUUUGGAAGAUUCCGGGAAGGCUUAGGGUGUCAUCCAGGGGCAGUUACCCUUAGUCCUGGUUUGCUUUCAGUUGAAGUCUUUAUCUUAGAAGAUUACAGUUAGCAAGUAUGCUUCCUUCUUUGUACUUGGCCAGUCUAUGCCACUGCUGCA